rnacentral:rRNA from 1 species
GUCGAGAAUAAUUCACAAUGGGGGAAACCCUGAUGGUGCAACGCCGCGUGGAGGAUGAAGGUCUUCGGAUUGUAAACUCCUGUCAUCUGGGAGUAAGACCUGACGGUGAAUAGCCGGCAGGGUUGAUAGUACCAGAAGAGGAAGGGACGGCUAACUUCGUGCCAGCAGCCGCGGUAAUACGAAGGUCCCAAGCGUUGUUCGGAAUCACUGGGCGUAAAGGGAGCGUAGGCGGCGUGGUAAGUCAGAUGUGAAAUCCCGGGGCUCAACCCCGGAACUGCAUCCGAUACUGCCAUGCUUGAGGGUUGGAGAGGUAGCUGGAAUUCUCGGUGUAGCAGUGAAAUGCGUGGAUAUCGAGAGGAACACUCGUGGCGAAGGCGAGCUACUGGACAACAUCUGACGCUGAGGCUCGAAGGCCAGGGGAGCAAAAGGGAUUAGAUACCCGAGUAGUCC